GCAGGUGAGGGUGAUCUCACUGUAACAUCUGCCACCCCACUACUGAUCGCCAGAGUCAAGUUGGCUGAUCUGGUUGGCUAGGUGGGUGUUCCCUUUCUCCCUCACCUCUCCAUGUGAUCCCUUUUGAAGCUGUGCACUCAAAGAAGAUGACCAUCCUAGGUGGAUGAGGGCUCUUUUCCUCAUUCAAGUGUAUACAAGUAGCCAUGCUCCCCUGCUAGAACCUCCAAACAAGCUCUCAAGAAUAUUUGCCCAAUGUCACAUAAUAGGAAGUACAUGGUCUUGAAUCCAGGACAUGGCUAAUAAUCUUUCCACAGUGCCAAGCUUUCUAUUCAUUGGGCAGGAAGAAGCUUUGA
rnacentral:snRNA from 1 species